AUUCAGACAUUGGGCCUCAACA
rnacentral:miRNA from 1 species